rnacentral:rRNA from 1 species
AGCUGGCUGGUUCCGUGAGGUGACUUCUGCCCAGUGCUCUGAUUGUCAAUGCGAAGAGAUUCAGCCAAGCGCGGGUAAACGGCGGGAGUAACUAUGACUCUCUUAAGGUAGCCAAAUGCCUCGUCAACCAAUUAUUGACGCGCAUGAAUGGAUCAACGAGAUUCCUGCUGUCCCUAGUCGCUGUCUGGUGAACCAACAACCAAGGGAACGGGCUUGGAUGUGUCAGCGGGGAAAGAAGACCCUGUUGAGUUUGACUCUAGUUUGAUACUGUGCAACGACAUGUGGGGUGUAGCAUAGGUGGGAGGUGAGUGCCACCAACCACCGCCUGUGGUCAAGUGCCCUGAACCGAGCAGAGAGGGGCUCCACAGUCGAGUGUCCAAAGGCUGGCUCCCAGAGCCACAGUGAUCCUGGUGCGAACCUGCAGUGAAAUACCACUACCUUCACCGUCGUUUUACUCAUUGAGUUAUCAGAGAGCGGUGGCCAUUUGGACAUCGGCUCUGCCCUUGCGGUGGAGCCGUGGCUCUUCCCCGAUUCAUGCAUCAAGCCUGCGGCUUCGGCUGUGGGCGACUCUGGAUGUCGCAGUCCGAUCAGAAGUCUCAAAACAUCGAUCAGUUGGGGAGUUUGGCUGGGGCGGCACGCCUUUUACAACACAACGAAGGCGUCCUGAAGCAUUGCUCAGGCAGAACAGAAAUCUCCCAGGGAGGAGAAGGCCAAAGGUGCUGCUGAUGCUGCGACUCUCAGUACGAGUCCGAAACGUGCAAGUGUGGCCUAACGAUCCUUUGGUCAAGUGUGCGAAUUCUGGAUAUCGAAGCCAGAGGUGUCAGAAAAAUUACCACAGGGAUAACUGGCUUGUGGCUGCCAAGCGUUCAAAGCGACGUCGCUUUUUGAUCCUUCGAUGUCGGCUCUUCCUAGCUUCCCACCCGCAGCCGAGUGGAAGAGUUGGAUUGUUCACCCACCAAC